CUUUACUCUCAUUAUUCUGAAUUCUUUCUCUGUAAGGUUGCCUAUCUCCAGUUCAUUUAGUUGUUUUUCUGGGGUUUUAUCUUGUUCCUUCAUCUGGUACAUAGCUCUCUGUCUUUUCUUCUUGUCUAUUUUUCUGUGAAUGUGGUUUUUGUUCCACAGGCUGCAGAACUGUAGUUCUUGCUUCUGCUGUCUGCCCUCUGGUGGAUGAGGCUAUCUAAGAUGCUUGUGCAAGCUUCCUGAUGGGAGGGACUGGUGGUGGGCAGAGCUCAGUAAAGCUUUAAUCUGCUUGUCUGCUGAUGGGUGGGGCUGAGUUCCUUCCCUGUUGGUUGUUUGUCCUGCGGUGACCCAGCGCAGAGCCCACAGUCUCCUUGGUGGGGCUAAUGGCAGACUCCGGGAGGGCUCACGCCAAGGAAUACUUCCUAGAACUUCUGCUGCCAGUGUCCUUGUCCCCGCCGUGAACCACAGCUGCCCCCUGCCUCUGCAGGAGACCCUCCAACACUAGCAGAAGACAUCCAAGAUGGUUGGGAAGUUUGCUGGUCUAGCUACGGAGUUCCCUAGAAGAGUUCUUGUUGCCAAGCCCCACCCAAGGUCAGAGACCCACUUCACAAGGGCUGUUUGGGAAGAUGGGAAGGAGAAGACAGUCUGCGCUCUGUGUCGUCACCUGCUGAGACUGCUUUCUUGAAUGAGUGGUCACGCAUGAGAUCCUGUGCAGUACCCUCCCCCAGAAUCAGCAUGGUUGUCUCCACAUGUGUGUUAAGAUCACAUGGUAAAAUGCCCUGAUUUUGCUAAGGGGAAGUAUCCCUCCCUCUCACAUUGGAUGCUGCCUUGGAUGGUCAUUGUUGGCUUCCUGUUCUUUUCUGGCCAAGAGGUAGACUGGUGAUGCAAGCUCAGGUUAUAAAACACAACCUGGACUUUUUUUCUGACAGUUUUUCAAACAUUGUUAUUAUCAUGUUAAAGAUAAGCUAUAUUCCAAAAUGUGUAGCUACAUUCCAAAUCAUGUGAAGGAUUUUACUUUGUUAAUUUGGAUGAGAUCAUGGGUUGUGGGCAUAAUUCAAAGUGUCUGGACUUCUAGGACCAAAUGUGGUCUGAGAUUGAUGUAUACAAGGACAUCGGAAACAAAAAAUUAAAUUGCAACAAAAGAAAUGAAGAUGCAAAGUAAUGAGUGUUUUACUGUGUGAAAAGGCACAUAUGCAGAAAAGAGUCAUAGUGCUUCCUCUGUGGAGGGCUCAGCCCUAUAAAACAGAGUCCAUUGUUGGUCUGUGGAAAUGUCCCCAGAGUCAGGCCAGGAAGGCAGCAUUGCUUCUCGACCUGCUUCUGAGGUAGGGGACCUUGAGUUAUUCCUGGUCCUGCCAAGUUGUCUGGGCCCAACCACUUAACUUUUUUCUAUAAAAUGGGAAUAUCAUUGGCCUCUUUCCUGUGAGUUUGGGAAGCCCUUCCUAGAGAUUGCUACACACACCCAGCCAAACUCCCAAGAACUUGGUUCCUGAGCAGAGUGGCUGAAGAAUGAAAAUGGUGGGAAUUUGCUCAUUCCAAGGGUGGUGCUUAAUCCAGGUCCCUGCUCCUGGAUCUCUGGGGCUGCUCUGGUUCUGUCCCUCAGACAGCUCUGUCUUAGCCAACAGAAAGGAGUUUCCUGGAAGGCUAUGUGGUAGGAGGUCCAAAGACUCGGAACAUGUUUCUGCUGCAUGUAGUCACUGGCGCACUUUCUCUUGAUACCCUCUUUCUUGCUGGUUACAUCUAUGCACACAACUUCAAAUAUAAUCUUUAUGCAGAAAGCUUGGAGCCGUGUCUCCAGCUCUGAACUUUCUCCUAGCACAGCAGGAAGAAUAGCUCUGCAGGGAUGUGAUGUUAUUAGCAAAAGAACCAAAUUCCCACUGCCCUGAGAGCCUACCUUCCUGUCCUAGCCACCCAUCUCCUGGCUCCCUCUGUCCUAAUCCCACCCAUUCUGUCCUGAACUAUCUCGUGCAGGCCUCCCAUCCAGGCCCACUGCUGUUGCCUUGGUUCAGGCUUCCUUUAUCUCUUGCCUGUUGCUUCCCUCCGCUAACUGGUCCCUGCACUGCUAGGCAAAGUCAUACAAGCUCAAAAGCCUUCAGGGGCCAGGCAGGUCAUGCAUGUGUGUGAAGUAAAAGGGAUUGUUGGGAACGGGGGUGCUGACUGGCUAUCUUUAGACAGGGUUUUGUGGGCUGUUUCCAGUUUUCAGUCUGCUGUCUCCAGUCUUUAGCCUUAGGGUUGUCCAGGUCCGCUCAUCAUGCCUUGUGUCCUGCUCUAGUCUUCAGGUGCCAUAUAAGGAUGAAGGUCCCCAAAGCCUCUUACAGUAUACCCAUGCAGCUGGAGUGCUGGGGACUUGGUGGGAUCAAAUAAUGGGAGUGCUUUGGAAAAUGUAGGUUUGGGUCAGUUUACUGUUCUCCCAAUGUGCCCCUCACAUUCCUGCCCUGAUGCUGGACUUUGGAUUCGGCUGGAACUUGACCUUCUCUAAGAAGGCUUCUCUCUUUCCUAUUAAAUUAACCUCUCUAAGCCUCCAUCUCCUCCUCUGUAAAAAGGGCGUAAAGCUGGGCUUCCCUGGUGGCACAGUGAUUGAGAGUCCACCUGCCGAUACAGGGGACGUGGGUUCGUGCCCCAGUCUGGGAAGAUCCCACAUGUCGCAGAGCAGCUGGGCCCGUGAGCCAUGGCCACUGAGCCUGUGCAUCCGGAGCCUGUGCUCCGCAAUGGGAGAGGCCACGACAGUGAGAGGCCCGCCUACCGCAAAAAAAAAAAAAAAAAAAUGGCGUAAAGCUUCUCUCUCAGAGUUUUUGUGAGCAUUACAAGAAGGGUGGCAUGUGCACCCUUUAUUCUCAUCAAACACUGUACAGGUGUAAGGCUUUGUUGUUGAAAGUAAUGGUUGGGUGGCCACGAGGUCCAACCUCCCACCCAGGCAUUCAGUCAGGACUUCUGACAGUUAACGCUUGAAUACUUUAUAUGGUGGGGAACUCACCAUCUCACAAAGCAUUCAGCUUCAUUGUUGGAUGUCUCAAGUUAGAAAGUAGAAACAGUCUCUUUGUGACAGAUGUUGAGCGUCUUUUGUUCACCUUGCUCCACUGUCUUCUGUGCUUUGUGUAUCCAUCAUAUCAGAUCCAUUCUGCUUGAAGGGAGGUUUGUGUUCUCUCCUUAGUGCCCUGGAAGCCUCUCCUGGAUGGAGAAGGAGUCUGGAGAUGUUCUCUAUGUGUUUUUCACAGGAAGCUUGUGGGUAGAGAGGAAUGCAGGGAAAGGAAGGGGCU